GCGAAGAAGGACGUGGCUUCCGGCGAAACGUUUCGGGGAGUUGGAAGUAAGCUUUGAUCCGAAAGUGUCCGAAUGAGGAAACUCUAAAACUUAUUACUGAAUCUAUAAGUAAAAAAAGAGCGAACCUAGGGAACUGAAACAUCUUAGUACCUAGAGGAAAAGAAAGUAACAACGAUUCCCUAAGUAGUGGCGAACGAAACGGGAUCAGCCUAAACUUUUUAGAAAUAAAAAGGGUUGUGGGGUAAGAAAGAGAGUGAAUUGAGUAACUUUUAAUAGUGAAAAGAUUUUUCGGAAUCAUUUCAUUAUAAGAAAUUAGGUGAAAUAACUGGAAAGUUAUACCAAAGAAAGUGAUAGUCUUGUAACCGAAAAUUUUUUAAUAAUUCUUUAUUCCCGAGUAGCAUGGGACACGUGGAAUCCCGUGUGAAUCUGCGAGGACCACCUCGUAAGGCUAAAUAUUCCUGGAUGUCCGAUAGCGAAUAGUACCGCGAGGGAAAGGUGAAAAGAACCCCGGGAGGGGAGUGAAAUAGAACGUGAAAUUGUAAGCCCACAAACAGAAGGAGAACGACUUAGCGUUUAACUUCGUGCCUGUUGAAGAAUGUUCCGGCGACUUAUAGUUAGUGGCAGGUUAAGAUAGAGAUAUCGAAGCCAGAGUGAAAGCGAGCUUGAAUAUAGAGCGUUGGUCACUAGUUAUAGACCCGAACCCGGUUGAUCUAACCAUGGCCAGGAUGAAACUUGGGUAACACUAAAUGGAGGUCCGAACCGACUGAUGUUGAAAAAUCAGCGGAUGAGUUGUGGUUAGGGGUGAAAUGCCAAUCGAAACCGGAGCUAGCUGGUUCUCCCCGAAAUGUAUUUAGGUACAGCGGUUAAUAUUAUAGCGUAGGGGUAAAGCACUGUUUCGGUGCGGGCUGGUAACUCGGUACCAAAUCGAGGCAAACUCUGAAUACUACGUGUACAAUUAACCAGUAAGACUAUGGGGGAUAAGCUUCAUAGUCAAGAGGGAAACAGCCCAGAUCACCAGCUAAGGCCCCUAAAUAAUUACUAAGUGAUAAAGGAAGUGGAAAGGCUUAGACAACCAGGAGGUUUGCUUAGAAGCAGCAAUCCUUUAAAAAGUGCGUAAUAGCUUACUGGUCUAGCAAUUCUGCGCCGAAAACUUACGGGACUAAGUAAUUUGCCGAAGCUGUGAGAUAUACUUUUUGUAUAUCGGUAGGGGAGCGUUCUGUUGUAGGUUGAAGUGUUAGCGAAAGCGGGCAUGGACGAAACAGAAGUGAGAAUGUCGGAUUGAGUAACGAAAACAUUGGUGAGAAUCCAAUGCUCCGAAACCCUAAGGUUUCCUCCGCAAGGCUCGUCCACGGAGGGUGAGUCAGGUCCUAAGGUGAGGCUGAGAAGCGUAGUCGAUGGACAAUAGGUUAAUAUUCCUAUACUGAUUUUUACUGGUAUCGAGGGACGAAGAAGGCUAAACUAGCCAGAUGUUGGUUACUGGUUUAAGAAUCGAGGUGUUGAAGAUUAGAGAAAAUAAUCUGAGCUGAGAAACGAAUACAAGAUUGUAAAAAAUCAAAGUAGUUGAUGUCAUACUUUCAAGAAAAGCUCGCUAUGCCUUAAGUAAAAAUCACCUGUACCUUAAACCGACACAGGUAGGGAGGUAGAGAAUACCAAGGAGCGCGGGAGAACCCUCCUUAAGGAACUCGGCAAAAUAGCUCUGUAACUUCGGAAGAAAGAGUGCCUUUUAGGCUGCAAUAUCAAGUUCCAAGCAACUGUUUAGCAAAAACACAGGUCUCCGCAAAGUGGUAACACGACGUAUGGGGGCUGACGCCUGCCCAGUGCCGGAAGGUUAAAGAAGUCGGUUAGCGCAAGCAAAGCUGGUAACUGAAGCCCCGGUGAACGGCGGCCGUAACUAUAACGGUCCUAAGGUAGCGAAAUUCCUUGUCGGGUAAGUUCCGACCCGCACGAAUGGCGUAAUGAUUUGGAAGCUGUCUCAAGGAGGGACUCGGUGAAAUAGAACUGGCUGUGAAGAUGCGGCCUACCUGCGCCUGGACAGUAAGACCCUAUGAAGCUUUACUGUAUCCUGAAAUUGGAUUUCGAUUUUAUUUGCGCAGAAUAGGUGGGAGACAUUGAAACUUUGCUUUCGGGCUUAGUUGAGUCAUUAGUGAGAUACCACUCUGAUAAAAUUAAAAUUCUAACUUCAAACCGUAAGCCGGUUGAAAGACAGUUUCAGGUGGGCAGUUUGACUGGGGCGGUCGCCUCCCAAAAGGUAACGGAGGCGUACAAAGGUUCCCUCAGAUCGGUCAGAAAUCGAUCUUCGAGUGUAAAGGCAAAAGGGAGCUUAACUGUGAGACAAACAAGUCGAGCAGAGACGAAAGUCGGUCUUAGUGAUCUGACGAUGCUGUGUGGAAAGGUCGUCACUCAACGGAUAAAAGUUACUCUAGGGAUAACAGGCUGAUCUCCCCCAAGAGUUCCUAUCGACGGGGAGGUUUGGCACCUCAAUUGGGGGCACAUUUUUAGUAAUAGAAUGUGACAAUUUGGCUAUAUGCUGGAAACUCCGUUCACGAAAAGUGAUGUAGAAUCCUAAAAUACUGCAUCAUCAAAAAUGAUGAAGUAAAAAUUUUUAGGUGCGGACAAUCAGCAGGGAAGUUUACCAUUCUUUUGGUAUAACCCCUCAACGACUACACGCCGAACAACCAAUUUUUUGGUUGAUGAUAUAGUCUGAUCUUUUAGGCGACUAAAAGGGCUUUUAAAAAGCCAUAGAAUUUUAAAGGUUGUUAGAACCUUUGAAUAUUUUAUUAACAUAUUGCGAUGUCGGCUCAUCGCAUCCUGGGGCGGUAGUACGUCCCAAGGGUUGGGCUGUUCGCCCAUUAAAGCGGUACGUGAGCUGGGUUCAGAACGUUGCGAAACAGUUCGGUCCAUAUCCGGCGUAGGCGUUAGAGUAUUGAGAGUGACCUUUCUCUAGUACGAGAGGACCGAGAAAGACAUACCUCUAGUGUACCAGUUAUCGUGCCAUCGGUAGACGCUGGGUAGCUAUGUAUGGUUAGGAUAACCGCUGAAAGCAUCU
rnacentral:rRNA from 1 species